UCAUGACGGUUUUAGGAAAAAUGCCAUCUUGGGUGAGUUCGAUGGAUAGGAAGCUGAUGGAGAGUUCGGGUAAGGACAUUAUAGCGAAUGCAGUGGUGGCACAAGAUGGAACGGGGGAUUAUCAAACACUUGCUGAAGCAGUUGCUGCAGCACCAGAUAAGAGUAAGACGCGUUAUGUAAUUUAUGUAAAGAGGGGAACUUAUAAAGAGAAUGUUGAGGUGGCUAGCAAUAAAAUGAACUUGAUGAUUGUUGGUGAUGGAAUGUAUGCUACGACCAUUACUGGUAGCCUUAAUGUUGUCGAUGGAUCAACAACCUUCCGCUCUGCCACUCUUGGUAUGCUUUCAAUAACUUAUGUAUAUAUAGUAGAUGUUGAACCCUUUAGCCUCUUCGUUAUGUAUACUUUUGAUAUUUCAAACCCCCUUACUAAAAAUUCUGGCUCCGCCAUCAUGAGCUAGGAUGGUAUUAUUUGUAUUUCAUAUUUGAUUAAUGAACAAGAGUAACAUAUACUAGUGCAUUUUCAUCAUAUUGCAGCUGCAGUCGGCCAAGGAUUUAUACUACAGGACAUAUGUAUACAGAACACAGCAGGGCCAGCGAAAGACCAAGCAGUGGCACUUCGAGUUGGAGCUGAUAUGUCUGUCAUAAAUCGUUGUCGUAUCGAUGCUUAUCAAGACACCCUUUAUGCACAUUCUCAAAGGCAAUUCUAUCGAGACUCCUACGUGACAGGUACUUGUGAAGUAGAUUACCUCAAAUGUGCUAUACUCUCUAUUGAACUCGGUAUUAAAAAGUUUAAAUCUUGAAUCCGUCUCUGCAGGUACUGUUGAUUUCAUAUUUGGUAAUGCAGCAGUUGUAUUCCAGAAAUGCCAGCUCGUAGCUAGAAAACCGGGUAAAUACCAGCAAAACAUGGUGACUGCACAAGGCAGGACGGACCCAAAUCAGGCCACGGGGACAUCAAUUCAGUUCUGUAACAUAAUAGCAAGUUCGGACCUAGAACCAGUCCUGAAAGAAUUCCCAACAUAUCUUGGUAGGCCAUGGAAAGAAUAUUCAAGAACUGUAGUGAUGGAAUCAUACUUAGGUGGUCUCAUUAAUCCAGCGGGUUGGGCUGAGUGGGACGGAGAUUUUGCGUUGAAGACAUUGUAUUAUGGUGAAUUUAUGAACAAUGGACCUGGUGCUGGUACUAGUAAGCGUGUCAAGUGGCCUGGUUAUCAUGUCAUUACUGAUCCCGCUAAAGCUAUGCCGUUCACUGUGGCUAAGCUGAUUCAGGGCGGAUCAUGGUUGAGGUCUACUGGCGUGGCGUAUGUGGAUGGAUUAUAUGAUUAGAGUAUAUAUAUGAUGUGCCACAUGAGCAGGGCAGAGCAAGCAUAACACACAACUCUAGUGUGACAAGCAUUUACAUGGCUCAUUCGUUACUACUAAGUUGUCAAUAAGUUCUGUUUAGGGGUUCAUAAGUUUAUAUACGUAUAUACAUUUACAUUGGUGAUGAAGCUGAAACUGAUGAUGCUUUAAUGUAAUUAUAGUUUUCUGAAAAAGGAUAUGAGUAAUAUUAGUUUUUCCCAGAUGUGUAUGGUUGUGGAACUGUUUAUGCUUAAAUUGGCAAGGGGUAUUGAAUAAAAAUCUAUUGUGUUACCUUUUGGCUGUUUCAUAUUUAUUCUUUUUUUUUUUUGAUCUAUUUUGAUUUCAUAGUUGGAAAAUUACGUGAUUAAUCAUACUUAUAGUAGUUAAUUACCUAACAUGGCUACAAUUUGUAUUAAUUACAAUUCGAAACUUACUUCUAGCUAUAAUUGCAUUCCCAUCUCUCUCUCCCUCUCUCAAGAAUCUCGCUCACAACUCUUUUUUUUUGAGUCAUAUAUCCUUGCAAGUCUCUCUCGGUUCUCUUCUAUCAGUGUCUCUUUUACUUUAUACAAGCAAAAAUUAUACAAAUAUAUAAUUUUUGUUCGUGUUUGUAUUAAGUGAGAGAGAGACCGGAUAUGCAAAUACAAAAUAUAUCUCUUUGCCCUAUACACUUGUAUUUUUUAUACAAAUACAAUUCUCUCCCUGCCUAGUUCUCUCUCUCUCUCUCUCUUUUUCUUUCUCUCUCGCUUUAUACAAACACAAAUUACAUCAUUGAUACAUAUACAUAGUAGUAUACAAAUACAAUUUAUCUCACUCCACUUCCGCCCACUCUAGCUCAUCUCUCUCCUGCCUUUCUCAAUCUCGCACGCCACUCUCCUUUCUCUAACAUGUAGCUACAAAUAGUAAUUAGCAUAUUAUAGUUAUGAAGCAUAAUUAAAUUGUUUUUGAGUAGCUAUAUGUGAAAAUUCUUAAUUUUUGAGUGGCUAGCUAUAAAUCUUUUCUAAUUUUUUGUUCAAAUAUUCGAUCAAAGUUGAUGAUAAUUUGAAUAUUAGCAAAUUUAAGAAAAUAUCAAUAUAUUUUGCCUAAAGUUUAUUGCCAUACAAAUAUAAUCACAUAACAAAGAAUUAAUACAUAAUUAACUUAUUGUGAAAUGAGGUCUUGGGCCUAACUCACAUCCUAAAAGCUAGCUCAAAUUAGUAUAAAAUUUUUGUUAUUCUUUAACUACGUCACCUUGCACCCGUUGCCUAACAUCUAGUGCAUAGACAAUUUAAUUUUGGGGCCCGAACAUUGAGUGAGAUUGACCGACUUUGAUAUCAUGUGAAAUUAGAUUUUGAGCUCAGCUUACACCUCAAAAAUUAGCUUAAAGGGAGGAAGAUUGUCCAAAUCUUAUAAGGACUUCACCAUCUCAAUAACCACUAGUGUGGAUUUUUGUCAUUUUUUAACAAUUCUUAUCAACAUAUCCGAAAUAAGCAAUAUUGCAAUGCAAUAUAGCUAUGGGGCGUAAUUAUUGAAACUAUAACUAUAAAGCCUUAUUAUGUUUAGUAUAUUUGUUGUUUCUCAAUAUACACCGAGUAUACAUGAAAAAUAUUUCGACUAUUUAAUUUUGAUCAACUUAGAAGAACCUUUUAAACAAUUCCAAAAUUUUAAUAUGAAAAUUCUCUUAGAUAUUUCGAGUGCUCGAAAAAAUUGGAAGAAGAAACUGACACGACAAUGAUAUCUCUUGCUAGCUUAACAAUAAUAUAAAAAGUGUUUGUUAAUAUUUGUAGUUGAAUUAGUUAUAUUAGAAUAGAUUUAUCUGAAUUAGAUUCUUUUUGAAGUAUAAAUCUAACCAAGAAGGCAAAUGAAAUAAUUGGACAAACUCACCUUAUGAUACAUUUUAUAGAGUAUUUAACGAAAGUGAAAAGACUAAUCAGAAUAAAUAUCAUUAAGAAGAUUAAACUAUGUACAACUAAUAAUAACAAAGAAAUUUUAUAUUCUAAAAUAUGAGUGAAGAAUGUAAAAAGAAGAUACAAUUACACACAAGAAUUAUAGGAAUAGUAAAUAAAAAAUUUUCUUGGCAAAGUUAAAUUUAUAGAAUAAAAUUACAGAAAUAUGAAAAGACACGUGAAAAAUUGAAAGGUCAAAUAUUAUUAAAAUAAAUAUAAAAAAGAUAGAGAUGAAAUUUAACUUUAAAAGAUACAUGAAUCUACUUUAAUUUCUUGUCUUUAAAGAAUAAUUACUUAUUUGUAUUUUUUAAAAUUUGUGUGAGAAAUUUGAAAGGUUCAAGAUUUUGAAAUGAGAAUAAGAAGAUUAUAUGAAAAUUAUAAAAGUUUUAAUUUAGUAGAGGGGCAAAAUAGUAAUUCAAUUUUUUACUUUGCAGCUUUCCAUUUAUAAUAUGAUACUAGUAUUAUUAUAAGUGGGAAGAACUCAAGUCAAAAGUUGAAUUACGAUUUUACCCUCCUAUAAAUUAAAAUGUUAUAAUUAGUUUAAUUAAAUAAUAAUAACUUUUGAAUUUUCUUAGAUUAAUUCCUAUUAUUAUUAUUGUUGUUGUUGUUGUUGUUGUUGUUAUUAUUAUUAUUAAAAGUGAAAAAAGCUUUUAGCUUCAAAAUUGAUUACCAUUUUACCCCUACUGUAAGUAAAAAUGUUAUAAAAUAUUUAAUUAGUCAAAUAUUAGAAUUCUCAAUAAGUUUUUUCUAAUAUAUAUUUGUAUUUCAAAUUUUUAUGCAACCUAUAAUUACAAUAUUUAAUAUGUAUUAACCUCUCACAAUUGAAUUAUUAUUAUUAUUAUUAUUAAUUAUGAUAAAAAAUCUUAUUCUGCAUACCUUAACUAUAAGUUAAAUAAAAUUCAUUUAAUUAAUUUUUCAGUUACAUAAAUUGAACGGGAUUUGAAAGUGGAAAAGUGAUUGUUUAAUGUCCAGAGUCAUACAUGAUUAAUUGCUUUAAAUUAACACAUCAUGUAUUACUUUACCAAACUCUUUCAAUUCCUAUAAUUUGUCUUCUGAUUUUCUUAAUUUGUCUCAUCAAAUUCUAACACUUUUAAUUUAGUAACCAAUCUUUAUUAAUAAACAUCAGUAGAACUUGAAUAGUUCAUUAAGUAUUUAAGUGUAAGUUAAUUAGUAUUAUGUCAAAAGAAAUUUGAAAGAACAUAAAAAAACACUAUAUAAAGGAAACAAAUGAUUUUCAUUUCCUUCAAGUUUUAUUUCUUUAGUUAAACAUCUAACACCCCUUCUAAAUUUCUUUCUUUUCCCUUAAAUUUUUUCGUUUGCAUGAACUAAAGAAAAUGGGAAUGAAGAAACAUGUAGAGUUGAUAAAUGUUGGAAUUAAAUGAUUGUCAUAUCAAUUUACAUGCAACACUCAACAUUCAUUGAAUGAUAUAUGAAGAUUACUUAGUCCUUAAGGAGUGCUAGCAGAAAUUCAUGAGCUAUGAAAAGGAGGAAAUUGAUUUCUUUGGAAUACUGAUUUUAAAAUUUUCAUUAAUUGAUUUUAUUCUUAUAAUGUACUGUAAUUAUAAUUGCUUGAGACUAUAGAUAAAAUGCUAUGUUAUUUGUGUAUUUGGAAGGAGUUAUAAAAAUGAUAUCUUGUAGUAUGCCUUCAUGGCAUCAUGUGAUUGGUAUUGAAAAAUUAUAUUGUAACUUUUUUUGUAUUUUGUAAUGUUUCUUUAUAUGUAUCUUCAUAUUGGAACUUACUAAUUUAUUUUACAAAAGAAUUAGGAGCAUAUGCAUCAUAAAUAAAUAUAGUAUCAAACUUUUUAAAGGAAAAUUUUCUUUCAUUUUGAUAAAAACUAUUUUAGCUACUACAAGAUAUAGGGAUCUUCACUUAAAUAGUCGGAUAUAUUUACUAUUACUUUUUCUAGCCUAUAUAUAUAUACUAGUUUUCGAGCACGCGCUUUGCGUGUGUAACCCAUGAGUGUAUUAUUUCUUAAAAGAUAAUAUUACUAAAUAAUAAAAUGUCUAAUUGAGAUUUUUUACUUUGUUUUACUACUAAUUGUGACACUCCAAUUUUCUGACCUCCAAGUGAAUGCAUCAAGAUAAUAAUACGAGAAAUUAAUAAAAUAAACUUUGUUUGUAAUUAAAAAAAUAAGUUUGCAAAGCUAAAAGGAAAAAUAACAACUAUCUAAAUUAAAUUUCUUGAUAGUUCCGUUUUAUUGGUAGAAUAAUGCUAGAUAGUGUAAGAUUAACUUUGAGUGAAGAAAAACAAAACCUUUCAACUUUAUUAAUGAAUGUGUUUUAUGUAUUGUAUUAAAUUUUUAUCCACAAACACUUUAAACUAAUUAGUUAACUAUAAAUAUUUAAAAUUAAGAUGUAAAAAGUUUUAUCAUUUAUAUUUAAAAAAUCAGGAUAUUUAUGAAUAACUACUAUUUUUAUAUAAAAUUUAAUUCUGUCAUACAUAACUUAAUCCACCAUUAAUCUAAUAUUAUAUGUUUCAGCUUUUUUUUUUCAUAAAAAGAAUUGAAAAGAGUAAACAUCCUAUUUUAUCACAUUUAUUCUUAAAGAUGAAAAUUAAUGUAUAUAUAAAAAAUUAUAAGUACGGAGAAAAGAAAAAAAAAAGGUAUAAAUGAGCAAAAUAAUUAGGCAUUUCAUUUUGUUUGUCUCUAUAGUGAAACUGAACAUUUGAGCAUACAAAAUACAAAUAUGAAUUUAGAGCAACUUGCUAGUAAAACAAGAAUUCAACAAUAUGAAGAGAGACAAAAAAGUCUUAUAAUAAUUCUUACUACAAAUAAGUAUAAAACUAACACAUCAAGCUCCGAUUCUUCAGUAAUUGAAUUCUUAUCUAUUCUCGUAACUGCAUAAGAGAAUCUCACAACUUUCACAUCAAAUUGUGUCAUUAUUUCACAUGUUUAGAGUUCCUACAUACAAGAAUUGUAGGAGUGGUAAAUAAAAGUUCUUCUUGAAAAAGUUAAAUUUAUAGAACAAAAUUAUGGAAACAUGAAAAGUCACAUGAAUUCUUGUUAAAAUAAAUAUAAAAAAGAUAGAGAUGAAAUUUAAUUUUAAAGAUACAUGAAUCUACUUUAAUUUCUUGAUAAUUACUCAUUUUUGUUUUAUUUUGCAUUUAUGUUAGAAAUUUGUAAGGUCAAGAUUAUGAAAUGAGAAUAAGAAGAUUAUAUAUAUAUAUAUAUAUUAGUUUUAAUUUAUUAGAGGGGCAAAAUGGUAAUUCAACUUUUAAGUUUUGAGCUUCAUGCUUAUAAUAAUAUAAGAUGAUUAGUUCGAGUUCAAAUUUAUUCAAGAAAAAAAUAUUUCUUACUUAAUGUUUUUUUUUUAUAAAUAUCAAAACUCAAAUAUAUUUGGCUUUUCGAUUAAGAGUGAAAGAAUCUAACUGUUCGAAUAAUCUCACUCGAUGAAAGUUCUACUAACACAAAUUCAAGAGAGUUGGGAACCAAAAUAAGCAACAAAAAUAUAAAAGUAACUAAAAUAAGCCACUAUUUUAGUAAGUAACUAAAAUAAGCUUAGUGGAAGAAAAAGUUCCACUAUAUCCAAUUUUCUAAACGUUUUCCAUUACUGUCAUAAUGUUUAUUUUUAAUAUAUAACGGAACUUUUUCUUCCACUUUAUAAAGUGGAACUUUUUAUUCCACUUUAUAAAGUGGAAGAAAAUCUUCCAAUUUAUGAAAAGUUACCUUUUCAUUUUCACCUUCACCUUCUCUCAUUUUUCUUUUCAUGGCUUCCAAAAAAAAAAUCACUUUGAAGAUGGUCAUCUACAUCAAAAAUUCACUUUAAAAAAAUAAGUGUUAGACAUAGCGAUAAUCAUCUGCGUCAAAAGUAGGCGAGACAUGAAAAUUUGAGGAUGUCCCAACAUUUUCCGUCAUUUCAAAGUGUGAGGACUAACCAAAAUAAUUAUUUAGUCCAUAACUUGGAGCAAUAUCCCUAUCUUGCUGAGGUAAACCGCUACAAAAUAUAUAAUAAUAAGAAUAAUAAAUAAUAUAAAUAAAUAAAUAAUUGACAAAAUCAACAAACAAUAAUUGAAAUAUAAUAAUUGAGCAUUACCGAUCACUAUCAUUGAUAGUUUUGUUUAAAUCAAAAUCAUAUCUGCCGGUAAGAGUAUUUUGAUAAUGAGUCAUUUUAGGAAAAUCAGUAGAUUGAAUUAUCAGAAAUUCAUCAAUGCUAUUAUGAUUUUCUAAUUAGGGAUGAACAUCGACUGAUAAAGGAGAACGUUGUUGACUAAUCUUAGGCUCCUUCCUAACAUAGAUUCCAAGUAUUGUUGACUUGAUUUGAUCUAUAUAGUAAUUUGGAACCCUUAAAAAGUCGGUCAACGAUUCGUCAUUAUAUAUAAUUCACUCUCCAAAAUUUACUUGUCCAUGUGAUAAAAAUGAAGUAGGGUAUUUUCCAGCUAUAAUCAAAUUAUAAUCGUAUUGUUUAUACCCAUUCAUUUAUAAAAUGAUGAAAUAAAUUUAUGAUAUCGGACAUUUAUUGGAUAUUUAGCAUUGUGUUUGUGAGGACAAUUAUAAUAAAUGGUAUUUCCGUCAUGUAUAAUUUCGCCAUCCUAAUAAAUUGAAACUUUAACUAUAGGUGUAGAAGAUAUUUUUUUUUAGAUUGAAAUGAACAAAUAUAGAAGACUUUAUGUUGUAGGUGCUAUCGACUAUGUAUAAACGUCCUUAAAUAGAUUUUUCAAAAUAAAAUAAUAAAAAUACAUAAUGAAAUAUUUUUUUCUGUUUUAAUGACAUAUCAAAUCAAUAUAAUUUAUAUGACAACACUGAAAAAACUUAUUCAAGACGUGAAAAAUAUUUUUCUUGUAAAAUGUAAUAAAAAGUUCCACUUUAUAAAGUGGAAUAAAAAGUUUCACUUUAUAAAGUGAAAGAAAAAACUCCACUUUAUAAAGUGUAAGAAAAAAUUUCGUUAUAUAUUAAAAAUAAACGUUAUGAAAUUAACAGAAAACGUUUAAAUUAUUGGAUACAGUGAAACUUUUUCUUCCACUGAGCUUAUUUUAGUUAUUACUAAAAUAGUGAAUUAUUUUAAUUACUUUUAUAUUUUUGUGAAUUAUUUUGGUUUCUAACUCAAUUCAAGAUGGUCCUAGCUCUUACCUACUUUGGACAAAGUAGUUGAAAGUCACAUCAAUUCUCCCUCUUUUGUAAAAAUUAUCAUAUUAUUGCCAGUAUAUUAUAUUAUUAUUGCUUCCACUCCAUAAGUGAAAAAUCAAAGACGGAAUGGGAAGAUGCAUGAGUAUUUUUUAGAUUAUAAUGAAAUUUCAGAGACACAUUUUAAAUAAAUUAAGGUUUUAUUAUUUUUUUUGAACUAAUUUUUUUUUUUUUUGUAAUUUUGUUCACCUUUUGACUUACGUGAAAUCCAAAUAUCUUCCACGUACCUCAAUUGCUUGAAGUCACGUAAUACAAAAGUCGUACAAAAUUACAAAAAAAAGUUAAAAAAAAUAAUAUGACAUUUGUUUAGUUAAGAUGUGUCUGAAAUUUUGAUAGAAGUCUAGAGGGUAAUUAUGCAUUUUUCCAUAAUAAUAGAAAGAUAUUUGUGAUUAGUGAGUACAUGGUGAAAGGUUACUAGUCACCGAGCAUCCAAAUACAUUGGCAUUCCUUAAAUUUAUCAGUAACUUUAAUUUAGACAUUCUAAUUAUGAAUGUUAUAAAUAAAUCUUGUCACCUGACAUUUUCGAGUUUCAACUCAAAAUUUUGAGAAAACUUUUACCGUUAUUUUUAAGUGUAUAUAAUAAGUUAAAGUUAAAUCACCUAAAAUACGUCAGCAUAUACGAAUGACACAUAUUAUAUAAACAAAGUAUUAUAGUAAGUGAAAGUGUAUCAAAACAUUUUAACACAUAGUUUGCGAACUUCUAAAAUGGCUACUCCUCAACAACCUUUGUUAACAAAAACACACAAACAAAAUUCCAUAAUCAGCUUCAAGAUCCUCACUUUUGUUGUAACUUUGUUUGUUGCUCUCUUCUUAGUUGUGUUUCUUGUUGCUCCAUAUCAAUUUGAGAUUAAACAUUCUAAUCUGUGUAAAACUGCACAAGAUUCCCAACUCUGUCUCAGUUAUGUUUCUGAUUUAAUAUCCAAUGAAAUUGUCACAUCUGAUUCAGAUGGACUAAGUAUUCUGAAGAAAUUUUUAGUUUACUCUGUUCAUCAAAUGAACAAUGCAAUUCCAGUGGUUCGCAAAAUCAAGAAUCAGAUCAAUGACAUUCGUGAACAAGGGGCUUUAACUGAUUGUCUUGAGCUUCUUGAUCUGUCAGUUGAUUUAGUAUGUGAUUCAAUUGCAGCAAUUGAUAAGAGAAGUCGUUCGGAGCAUGCCAAUGCGCAAAGUUGGCUAAGUGGUGUGCUUACUAACCACGUUACGUGCUUGGAUGAGCUUGAUUCCUUUACUAAAGCUAUGAUAAAUGGAACGAAUCUUGAUGAGUUGAUCUCGAGAGCUAAGGUAGCAUUGGCGAUGCUUGCGUCUGUGACAACUCCAAAUGAUGAAGUUUUGAGGCCGGGUUUAGGAAAAAUGCCAUCUUGGGUGAGUUCGAGGGAUAGGAAGCUGAUGGAGAGUUCGGGUAAGGACAUUGGAGCGAAUGCAGUGGUGGCAAAAGAUGGAACAGGGAAAUAUCGAACACUUGCUGAAGCUGUUGCUGCAGCACCAGAUAAGAGUAAGACGCGUUAUGUAAUUUAUGUAAAGAGGGGAACUUAUAAAGAGAAUGUUGAGGUGAGUAGCAGGAAAAUGAAUUUGAUGAUUAUUGGUGAUGGCAUGUAUGCUACCAUCAUUACUGGGAGCCUUAAUGUUGUCGAUGGAUCAACAACCUUCCACUCUGCCACUCUUGGUAGGCUUUAAAUAACUUAUGUAUAUAUAGUAGAUGUUGAAUUCUUUGGCCUCUUCGUAUAUAUACUUUUGAUAUUUCAAACCCCCUUACUGAAAAUCCUUGCUCCGCCAUCAUGACCUAGGAUUAAGGAUUGUGUUAUUUGUAGUUCAUAUUUGAUUAAUGAACAAGUGUACGUAUAUACUCGUGAAUUUUCAUCAUAUUGCAGCUGCAGUUGGCAAAGGAUUUAUACUACAGGACAUAUGUAUACAGAACACAGCAGGACCAGCUAAACACCAAGCUGUUGCACUUCGAGUUGGAGCUGAUAAGUCUGUCAUAAAUCGUUGUCGUAUCGAUGCUUAUCAAGACACCCUUUAUGCACAUUCUCAAAGGCAAUUCUAUCGAGACUCCUACGUGACAGGUACUUGUGAAGUAGAUUACCUCAAAUGUGCUAUACUCUCUAUUGAACUCGGUAUUAAAAAGUUCAAAUCUUGAAUCCAUCUCUGCAGGGACUAUUGAUUUCAUAUUCGGUAAUGCAGCAGUUGUAUUCCAGAAAUGCCAGCUCGUAGCUAGAAAACCGGGUAAAUACCAGCAAAACAUGGUGACUGCACAAGGCAGGACGGACCCAAAUCAGGCCACGGGGACAUCAAUUCAGUUUUGUGAUAUAAUAGCAAGUCCUGACCUAAAACCAGUCGUGAAAGAAUUCCCAACAUAUCUUGGUAGGCCAUGGAAAAAAUAUUCAAGAACUGUAGUGAUGGAAUCAUACUUGGGUGGUCUCAUUGAUCCAUCGGGUUGGGCUGAGUGGCACGGAGAUUUUGCGUUAAAGACAUUGUAUUAUGGUGAAUUUAUGAAUAAUGGACCUGGUGCUGGUACUAGUAAGCGUGUCAAGUGGCCUGGCUAUCAUGUCAUUACUGACCCCGCUGAAGCUAUGUCAUUCACUGUGGCUAAGCUGAUUCAGGGCGGAUCAUGGUUGAGGUCUACUGACGUGGCGUAUGUGGAUGGAUUAUAUGAUUAGAGUGAUAUAAAAUUACUCUUUGUUUAUGUAACAAGACAUCUUUAAAAAGUUCAAAGUAAGUAGUAGUAAUAUAUCCAUAUGAAGUGCCACAUG
rnacentral:lncRNA from 1 species